rnacentral:tRNA from 1 species
CAAAUUAAAGUUUAAAAGUUAAGCAUCUUAUUUACAUUAAGAAAAAAUCGUGCAAUUCGAUAUAAUUUGA